rnacentral:lncRNA from 1 species
GCCGUGGACGCUCUUAAAGGUCCACUGGUCGUUGGGACCGAAGAUAAUGUCCCACUGCUCCCAGGCGCCCACCGUCGUGGCCUCGGCGCGCACCCACCCGCCCGGAUUGGCGCCGAGGUAGCGGUUGGCAUAGGACUUGAUCGUGUACUUGCCGCUGGCGAGGCGUGCCACGGUCCACUUUUCCUUGGGCGACGCGCCCACCCACAAGGAGGCCACGCUGCCGUCGUCCUGCGCCGUCAACUGCUUGCCGCUGAUGGGCGAUACAAAGGUCACCCACUGCGACCACGGCUGCGACGACGGCGAGGGGCUCGUCGAGGGCGAGCGAGUCGGCGACGGGCUGGGGGUACGCGUGGGCGUGCGCGAGGGCGUGGGCGACGGAGAAGGGGCCACCUCAUAGUCGUACUCGAUGAUGGCGCCGCCCGAGGAGCCCGCCGAGUCGGCGUGGUAGCGCACCGAACCGCACACAUAGGCCGAGCCGCCGCCCGCGCCAGUGUUGGGCGCCGGCACCCAGCAUGCCGAGUCAAAGUUUUUGCCGUUGCCGCCGGCGCCGCCAAACCCAGCGGCACCGCCGUGCGACGCGCAUCCGACAAGAUAGUCGUUGAUACCGCGGCCGGGCGCCUGGUUGCGGCCGGGCGAGGUCCACGCCGCACCGUCGACAAAGGGCACCGAGGGCUCCAAAAAGGCCGAACCGGCACCGGCGCCACCCGCCUUGAUGUCGCCCACCAUAUCGCCCUGACGCGCCGGCUCCUUGUUGUCGUCGUCGGCCGCGCCUGCUGGGGUGCCUGAACCGGGGAUGACGCCAUGGGCUGCCGAAGCGGCGCCACCGCCGGCACCGCCCUGGCAGCCAUAGAUGCCGCCGCUAGAGAGGGCAACGGCACCGCCGCCACCAUAGGCCGCCAGGUGAUAGAUUUGGGUGAUGCCCAUCGAAAGCACAGUGAGUGUGGUGUCGCCGCCAUCGCCGCCAUAACCGCCGUGCGCCGGACCGACAGUGCCGUUGGAGGCGGCGCCGCCCUGGCCCACCGAGACGAGCCACUGGACACUGGGAUAGCCACCCCAUCCCGAGAUGUCGAUCGAGCGGUUCAUGACCGCAGCGCCGCUGCCACCGCCGGCACCGCAGUGCAUCGUAGACGCACCGCCGCCACCGGCGCCCCACAGCGUGACCUUGACGUUGGUCGCGGUGGGCGGGACAUUGACGACGGUCGACGUCCCGACGACGACCGUGUAGUGAAAGGCAUCACCGGCGAUGGGUCCGCAGAGCAACACCGCGAGCAGCGAGAGCGCCACCAUACAUUUGUUCAUGUUGAGCGAGGGCGAGUUGGGCAAGGUGCAACGGUUGUUGGUCUUGGUGGUUGUGGUCGCUUGCGUUGAAAAUAGACGUGAUCAUCCCGUG